rnacentral:misc_RNA from 1 species
AACUGAUACUACCUGCGGGAACCUGCGGAAGGAUCAUUAACGAGUUUUGAAAGGGGUUGUAGCUGGCCUUUCACGAGGCAUGUGCACACCCUGCUCUUCCACUCUCAACCUCUGUGCACUAUUGUAGGCUUGGUGAAAGGCGUUGACUCGCAAGGGUCAGCUGCCGGAAGCCUUGUCUAUGUCUCACUACAAACGCUUCAGUUAUAGAAUGUAACACUUGCGGAUAACGCAUUUAUAUAC